rnacentral:rRNA from 1 species
AUACGUAGGGUGCAAGCGUUAAUCGGAAUUACUGGGCGUAAAGCGUGCGCAGGCGGUUUUGUAAGACAGUGGUGAAAUCCCCGGGCUCAACCUGGGAACUGCCAUUGUGACUGCAAGGCUGGAGUGCGGCAGAGGGGGAUGGAAUUCCGCGUGUAGCAGUGAAAUGCGUAGAUAUGCGGAGGAACACCGAUGGCGAAGGCAAUCCCCUGGGCCUGCACUGACGCUCAUGCACGAAAGCGUGGGGAGCAAACAGGAUUAGAUACCCUGGUAGUCCACGCCCUAAACGAUGUCAACUGGUUGUUGGGGAUUUAUUUUCUCAGUAACGAAGCUAACGCGUGAAGUUGACCGCCUGGGGAGUACGGCCGCAAAGUUAAAACUCAAAUGAAUUGACGGGG